rnacentral:lncRNA from 1 species
GUAAAGGAAAAACUAUAUGUCAUGGUUUUAUGAUUUUUGGUUAUCAGUAUUCCACAUCACAACAUCAUGCAGUGUACAGGGAGUUAAAGAGCAAAAGCUUUAGUUCCAGGUACCUGUCUGGAAGAGAAGAAGAACUACGUUCCCCAAGAGUCUUUUCGAGUACUGUUAUCAUUCCUGCUCAAGGGAACAGAUAUAAGGGCACAGGUCAUCUGACUCGGCCCUCUUCUCGUCUCGCUGUGUUCCCUGUUGGAUCGACUCGCUACUGCUGCGCCCGACUGCACGCAAGGCUUCAGUAUUAGCAUUGUUGCUGCUGUUUUUAAUUAUUUUGGGGUCCCCUGUUUCCCUUCCUGG